rnacentral:rRNA from 1 species
GACAGAGGGGGGUAAGCGUUGUUCGGAAUUACUGGGCGUAAAGGGCUCGUAGGCGGCCAACUAAGUCGGACGUGAAAUCCCUCAGCUUAACUGGGGAACUGCGUCUGAUACUGGAUGGCUUGGAUUUGGGAGAGGGAUGCGGAAUUCCAGGUGUAGCGGUGAAAUGCGUAGAUAUCUGGAGGAAUACCGGUGGCGAAGGCGGCAUCCUGGACCGGCAUUGACGCUGAUGAGCGAAAGCUAGGGGAGCAAACGGG